rnacentral:rRNA from 1 species
UACGUAGGGUGCAAGCGUUUAAUCGGAAUUACUGGGCGUAAAGCGUGCGCAGGCGGUUUGGUAAGACAGAUGUGAAAUCCCCGGGCUCAACCUGGGAAUUGCAUUUGUGACUGCCCGACUAGAGUGUGUCAGAGGGGGGGUAGGAAUUCCACGUGUAGCAGUGAAAUGCGUAGAGAUGUGGAGGAAUACCGAUGGCGAAGGCA